rnacentral:lncRNA from 1 species
CAACAAAUGGCAUCUUUCACUUCUUUUCCUUUCAAAUUGUUCCUUAAGUCUAUGUAUCUGCACACUUCCACACUUCAACUUCAUUAUUCAGAUUUUUGCAUGUGUUGAAACCCUUUUAAAACACCAAAAACGUCCAUCCCACUUGCUCCAUAUGCAUGCAAUCCAUUUUGGCCCAAAAUUGCUCCAAAUUGCACCAAAAUGCACUUUCUUUCCAACUUUGUUAUUAGGACCUACAAACACACGAAAAUAGCUUAAAACACUCUUAUAAGUAAUAACUAACUAAGUAAAUGCAAGAAAACAUGUUAACUAAGUCGCAUAAAUAUGCUCCUAUCAGAAUGCGUACUAUGCACACUAACUUUACACCUAAAUCACAUCUCUAACAACGACUUCAGGUCUAUCCAACAUGAUUAAGAGCAUUUGGCACGCUCCUCCUUGUAUGAAUGGUACUAAAUUACCAUGUAAAAGACCUUAAAUUCUCCCUGUCGUUGAGUUUUUAAGGAUAUUCGAGAGAACAAUGAUCAUAAAUGAACCAUUGAAGAAAAUAGAGUGAAAUAUCUUUGCACCACCUCCAAAAAUGAGCCUGAAGCUUUGAUUUAGGGCCAAUGGGUUGUCUCCCAACUGGAAACACAUCACAUAUGGUCGGCCUGGGGCCUGGUGAUUGAGCAAUUUUACUUGCUUUGGCAUGACUUUUUUUAGGACACUUAGGUCGACCAAUGAUGCUACGUGAAAGAAGAUUUGUGAAAAACAUGUUCAUUUAAGCAACAGCUAUAAGCAUGCAAUUAACAAUUAAAGGCGGAAUCAUGCUUGCAUGCACU